CAGGCUACAUUACUUCGAGUUCGAAUCAUUCACUCGACGACUAAAGCCUAAGGGCUACUUUUAUUUCGAGUUCGAGCAAGCACUCACUCGACCAUUACACCCACGGGCUACAUUACUUCGAGUUCGAAUCAUUCACUCGAUGACUAAAGCCUACGGGCUACUUUUAUUUCGAGUUCGAGCAAGCACUCACUCGACCAUUAUGCCCACGGGCUACAUUACUUCGAGUUCGAAUCAUUCACUCGACGACUAAGCCUACAGGCUACUUUUAUUUCGAGUUCGAGCAAGCACUCACUCGACCAUUACGCCC
rnacentral:lncRNA from 1 species